rnacentral:tRNA from 1 species
GCGGACGUGGCGAAAUUGGUAGACGCACCUGGUUUAGGUCCAGACGCCUUCACCGGCAUGUCAGUUCGACUCUGACCGUCCGCACCA